GUGGGGAAUAUUGGGCAAUGGGCGCAAGCCUGACCCAGCAACGCCGCGUGAAGGAAGAAGGCUUUCGGGUUGUAAACUUCUUUUAUGAGGGACGAAUAGAUGACGGUACCUCAUGAAUAAGCCACGGCUAACUACGUGCCAGCAGCCGCGGUAAUACGUAGGUGGCAAGCGUUAUCCGGAUUUACUGGGUGUAAAGGGCGUGUAGGCGGGACUGCAAGUCAGAUGUGAAAUUCCAGGGCUCAACCCUGGACCUGCAUUUGAAACUGUGGUUCUUGAGUGAUGGAGAGGCAGGCGGAAUUCCCUGUGUAGCGGUGAAAUGCGUAGAUAUAGGGAGGAACACCAGUGGCGAAGGCGGCCUGCUGGACAUUAACUGACGCUGAGGCGCGAAAGCGUGGGGAGCAAACAGGAUUAGAAACCCCAGUAGUCC
rnacentral:rRNA from 1 species